rnacentral:rRNA from 1 species
AAGACCUUGCGCUUUUGGAGCGGCCGAUGCCUGAUUAGCUUGUUGGUAAGGUAAAAGCUUACCAAGGCUUCGAUCAGUAGCUGGUCUGAGAGGACGACCAGCCACACUGGGACUGAGACACGGCCCAGACUCCUACGGGAGGCAGCAGUGGGGAAUUUUGGACAAUGGGGGAAACCCUGAUCCAGCCAUGCCGCGUGAGUGAAGAAGGCCUUCGGGUUGUAAAGCUCUUUCAGCCGGAACGAAACGGUUACGGAUAAUACCCGUGACUACUGACGGUACCGGAAGAAGAAGCACCGGCUAACUACGUGCAAGCAGCCGCGGUAAUACGUAGGGUGCGAGCGUUAAUCGGAAUUACUGGGCGUAAAGCGUGCGCAGGUGGUUUUGUAAGUCAGAUGUGAAAGCCCCGGGCUCAACCUGGGAACU